GCAGGUCGCGUUGACUUUCGAAAAGGCAUACAAUGGAGUCAUUCCCAUAAAAAAGAAGAAACUCCAGGAUGUUGCCCAAGUGGUUCACUAUGUGAACAAUCAAAAGGGUUUUACGGUAAUAUCUCAAGAGUGGCCUGCUGGUGAAAAUGAAGAAUGAAACAAGGAGAUGUUUUCGAUGCCGGUGUUGAGAAAAGUCAAUGAGACUGUGGAACUUUAUUUCUCUCACACACUGCAAAGCUCGUUGGAGAAGACUUGAAGAAACUGAGGGCUAAUGAUUAUGAAACUGUUUUAUUGAUUGAGAUGGCUUGAUUGUUGUGAACUACUCCAAAAGGAUGGGAGACAUUUAGCAUUUUCCUGCAAAGUCUCGUGGCCAAAAAAAUUUGACAUGGUCACUAAAACCAACUAAUUGACUACUUCUCAUGCAAGAAUAGGUUUUUUCUACAAAGAUUUAUCUUACGAAAAUUUUGCUCAAGUAAAGUUUAAUAUGCUUACUGUGUGAAAUUUUCAGUAAGUAGAGUCAAUGAUGUAAAUGUUUUAACUGAGAAAAAUAUUGUUUUUAAAACAUUGUGAUUAUUUUAACAUUCCAGUAUGUACAUUAGUUUUGAAAUUGAUAGUUUAUGAAAAUACAAUUGUUUAAUUUUCUUAAAAAAUUCAGUAUUUAUAUUUGUGGGGUAUGUAAUUUCAUUUUAAUACCUUACAUAACAUUAAGUAUGUAACUACUCUUUAAGAGUGAAAAUCAUCCAUGUUAAAAUACAAA